AGCAUCCGUAGCCGGCUGUUCAAGUUUCCGGUUAAAUCCACACGCUUAACGUAUGGGCUGCCGGAAAUACUGUUCAGCUAGGGAGUGGGAGAGGUAGACGGUACUCGAUAGGAAGGGGUAAAAUCCUUUGAUCUAUUGAUGACCACCUGUGGCGAAGGCGGUCUACCAGAACACGUUCGACGGUGAGGGAUGAAAGCUGGGGGAGCAAACCGGAUUAGAUACCCGGGUAGUCCCAGCUGUAAACGAUGCAGACUCGGUGAUGCAUUGGCUUGUGGCCAAUGCAGUGCCGCAGGGAAGCCGUUAAGUCUGCCGCCUGGGAAGUACGUACGCAAGUAUGAAACUUAAAGGAAUUGGCGGGGGAGCACAA
rnacentral:rRNA from 2 species